GAUGAACGCUGGCGGCGUGCCUAAUACAUGCAAGUCGAGCGAACAGACGAGGAGCUUGCUCCUCUUACGUUAGCGGCGGACGGGUGAGUAACACGUGGAUACCCUACCUAUAAGACUGGGAUAACUUCGGGAAACCGGAGCUAAUACCGGAUAAUAUAUUGAACCGCAUGGUUCAAUAGUGAAAGCCGGUUUUGCUGUCACUUAUAGAUGGAUCCGCGCCGCAUUAGCUAGUUGGUAAGGUAACGGCUUACCAAGGCAACGAUGCGUAGCCGACCUGAGAGGGUGAUCGGCCACACUGGAACUGAGACACGGUCCAGACUCCUACGGGAGGCAGCAGUAGGGAAUCUUCCGCAAUGGGCGAAAGCCUGACGGAGCAACGCCGCGUGAGUGAUGAAGGUCUUCGGAUCGUAAAACUCUGUUAUUAGGGAAGAACAAAUGUGUAAGUAACUAUGCACGUCUUGACGGUACCUAAACAGAAAGCCACGGCUAACUACGUG
rnacentral:rRNA from 1 species